CAGGAGGAAGGUGCUUAGAGGGACUUGACUCACCUCUUAGUGUGCUCCACUGCUCUGACUAAUCUCCCCCUCUCUCUUCCUCUGCUCCCCCUUUACUUAAAUCAUGGCAAGUUCCACCUUCCGUACUGGAAGUACUCGUUUGUCUGGUAGCCGUAAAGGAGGGCAAUCAUUUUCCUCAAGAUCCUAUUCUAGUGGCUCAUAUGGCACGGCACGUGCUUCAGGGGGUCCAGUGUCUAGGGGAAGUAUGUAUAGUUUUUCCAUAAGUGGUGGCGGCGGCGGCGGCGGCGGCGGCAGCGGCAGUAGCUUUGGCAGUGGUUUUGGAUCUGGAGGUUAUAGUAGUGGUGGUGGAGCUGGAGGUUUUGGUAUGAGUGGAGGUUAUGGUGGCGGGAGGUUUUGGUGGCGGUGGCGCUGGAGGUUUUGGUGGUGGUGGUGGCGCUGGAGGUUUUGGGGGCGGAUGUGUUCCAAUCACAGCAGUCACAGUCAACCAGAGCCUACUGGCCCCCCUGAACCUUGAGAUUGACCCCAACAUUCAGACUGUCCGAACCCAGGAGAAAGAACAGAUCAAGACUCUGAACAACCGCUUUGCGAGCUUCAUUGACAAGGUUCGUUUCCUGGAGCAGCAGAACAAAAUGCUGGAGACCAAAUGGAGUCUGCUGCAGGACCAGACCACCAGCCGCUCCAACAUUGACGCCAUGUUUGAGGCCUACAUCGCCAACCUGCGCAGACAGCUGGAUGGACUUGGCAAUGAGAAGGUGAAGUUAGAGGGAGAGCUGAAAAACAUGCAAGGACUGGUCGAAGACUUCAAGAACAAAUAUGAAGAUGAAAUCAACAAGCGUGCUAGUGUGGAGAAUGAAUUUGUCCUCCUCAAGAAGGAUGUAGAUGGUGCCUACAUGAACAAAGUCGAGCUGGAAGCCAAAGUCGAUUCCCUUCAAGAUGAGAUUAACUUCCUCAGAAGUGUCUAUGAGGCUGAGCUGCGUGAGCUUCAAGGCCAGAUCAAGGACACAUCUGUCAUUGUGGAGAUGGAUAACAGCCGCAACCUGGACAUGGAUGCGAUUGUGGCAGAAGUCAAGAGUCAAUAUGAAGACAUUGCCAAUCGCAACCGUUCAGAAACAGAGUCGUGGUAUAAACAAAGGGUCACAGAGAUGCAGUCCACAGCAAAUCAGUCUGGAGAUAGCCUUCGCCAGACAAAGGGCGAGAUUGCUGAACUCAACCGUAUGAUUAGCCGCCUCCAGAAUGAAAUUGAGGCAGUCAAAGCACAGCGUAUAAACCUGGAGGCUCAGAUUGCUGAGGCUGAAGAGCGUGGAGAGCUGGCUGUGAAGGAUGCCAAGGCUCGCAUGAGAGAGCUGGAAGAAGCCCUGCAGAGAGCCAAACAAGACAUGGCCCGCCAGGUCCGUGAAUACCAGGAGCUCAUGAAUGUCAAGUUGGCUCUGGACAUCGAGAUUGCCACCUACAGGAAACUUCUGGAAGGAGAAGAAUCCAGAAUUGCCAGUGGUGGCGGAGAGGCAACCAUCCACAUACAGUCCUCAACCACCAGUUAUGGUGGCAGUGGAGGAGGCGGCGGCGGCAGCGGCUGCUUUGGAGGCGGCAUGGGAGGAGGCGGCGGCGGCGGCGGCUUUGGUGGCGGCUUUGGCGGCGGCAUGGGAGGCGGCGGAUAUGGCGGCGGCGGCGGCGGCUGCUUUGGAGGCGGCGGAUAUGGCGGCGGCGGCGGCGGCGGCAGCUAUGGCGGCGGCUAUGGCGGUGGUGGUAGCAGCAGCAGCAUGAUCAGCUCCAGGACCUCCAUUCAGCGCCAUUAAAACCAGCCACUGUCCUCUCUCCUCAUUUUGCUCGCUUCCCCAUGUAUGCUUAAAACCAUUUCCACAAAGCUCUCCACCGCUUUACCUGCAGACACUGAGCACCCUUAGUUGUGAGUCAGUUCUCUUCUUUCUGUCAUCAGUCAGCCAGGUUGACUUUUGGUUUGCUGGAUGUACUCUUGUGUAGACAAGGAGGAUGUUUGUAGUGUCAUGACAAAACCUUUGUUUUUCAUUAGGCAAGAGUCAUUCCACACAAAAUGACAACUGCAGUACAGAGAUGUGCACAGUAACAUAUGUGGAUGAUGUGCUCUGUCUUGGACUCACAAAGCUUUCAGUGCAUGCCACCAUAUACUAUUCUCUUGAGACUCCUCUGUUGUCACACAUCUGUCAUAUUCUUUCAACAAAAGCAACCACAUAUAACACUUUAAUAUUUGAGUUUUGGGAUGCUCUCAUAGAAAUGGUGUUUACGCCUUUAAUUUCACUUUCACUCUGAAUACAAGUAAAGUUUAGGCUGACUGUGAUAACCAGAUUUAUUGUGAAAUUGUACCAUCAAAAUAUCUGGAAUAAAUCUGUGUUCAUCUUUGGCA